rnacentral:rRNA from 1 species
GGUUAAGCGACUAAGCGUACACGGUGGAUGCCCUGGCAGUCAGAGGCGAUGAAGGACGUGCUAAUCUGCGAAAAGCGUCGGUAAGGUGAUAUGAACCGUUAUAGCCGGCGAUGUCCGAAUGGGGAAACCCAGUGCAAUUCGUUGCACUAUCGUUAACUGAAUACAUAGGUUAACGAGGCGAACCGGGGGAACUGAAACAUCUAAGUACCCCGAGGAAAAGAAAUCAACCGAGAUUCCCCCAGUAGCGGCGAGCGAACGGGGAGCAGCCCAGAGUCUGAAUCAGCUUGUGUGUUAGUGGAACGGUCUGGAAAGUCCGACGGUACAGGGUGAUAGUCCCGUACACCAAAAUGCACAGGCUGUGAACUCGAAGAGUAGGGCGGGACACGUGGUAUCCUGUCUGAAUAUGGGGGGACCAUCCUCCAAGGCUAAAUACUCCUGACUGACCGAUAGUGAACCAGUACCGUGAGGGAAAGGCGAAAAGAACCCCGGCGAGGGGAGUGAAAAAGAACCUGAAACCGUGUACGUACAAGCAGUGGGAGCACCUUCGGGUGUGACUGCGUACCUUUUGUAUAAUGGGUCAGCGACUUAUAUUCUGUAGCAAGGUUAACCGUAUAGGGGAGCCGCAGGGAAACCGAGUCUUAACUGGGCGUUAAGUUGCAGGGUAUAGACCCGAAACCCGGUGAUCUAGCCAUGGGCAGGUUGAAGGUUGGGUAACACUAACUGGAGGACCGAACCGACUAAUGUUGAAAAAUUAGCGGAUGACUUGUGGCUGGGGGUGAAAGGCCAAUCAAACCGGGAGAUAGCUGGUUCUCCCCGAAAGCUAUUUAGGUAGCGCCUCGUGAACUCAUCUUCGGGGGUAGAGCACUGUUUCGGCUAGGGGGUCAUCCCGACUUACCAACCCGAUGCAAACUACGAAUACCGAAGAAUGUUAUCACGGGAGACACACGGCGGGUGCUAACGUCCGUCGUGAAGAGGGAAACAACCCAGACCGCCAGCUAAGGUCCCAAAGUCAUGGUUAAGUGGGAAACGAUGUGGGAAGGCACAGACAGCCAGGAUGUUGGCUUAGAAGCAGCCAUCAUUUAAAGAAAGCGUAAUAGCUCACUGGUCGAGUCGGCCUGCGCGGAAGAUGUAACGGGGCUAAACCAUGCACCGAAGCUGCGGCAGCGACACUAUGUGUUGUUGGGUAGGGGAGCGUUCUGUAAGCCUGCGAAGGUGUGCUGUGAGGCAUGCUGGAGGUAUCAGAAGUGCGAAUGCUGACAUAAGUAACGAUAAAGCGGGUGAAAAGCCCGCUCGCCGGAAGACCAAGGGUUCCUGUCCAACGUUAAUCGGGGCAGGGUGAGUCGACCCCUAAGGCGAGGCCGAAAGGCGUAGUCGAUGGGAAACAGGUUAAUAUUCCUGUACUUGGUGUUACUGCGAAGGGGGGACGGAGAAGGCUAUGUUAGCCGGGCGACGGUUGUCCCGGUUUAAGCAUGUAGGCUGGUUAUCCAGGCAAAUCCGGAUAAUCAAGGCUGAGGUGUGAUGACGAGGCACUACGGUGCUGAAGUAACAAAUGCCCUGCUUCCAGGAAAAGCCUCUAAGCAUCAGGUAACAUCAAAUCGUACCCCAAACCGACACAGGUGGUCAGGUAGAGAAUACCAAGGCGCUUGAGAGAACUCGGGUGAAGGAACUAGGCAAAAUGGUGCCGUAACUUCGGGAGAAGGCACGCUGGUGUGUAGGUGAAGCCCCUGCGGGUGGAGCUGAGACCAGUCGAAGAUACCAGCUGGCUGCAACUGUUUAUUAAAAACACAGCACUGUGCAAACACGAAAGUGGACGUAUACGGUGUGACGCCUGCCCGGUGCCGGAAGGUUAAUUGAUGGGGUUAUCCGUAAGGAGAAGCUCUUGAUCGAAGCCCCGGUAAACGGCGGCCGUAACUAUAACGGUCCUAAGGUAGCGAAAUUCCUUGUCGGGUAAGUUCCGACCUGCACGAAUGGCGUAAUGAUGGCCAGGCUGUCUCCACCCGAGACUCAGUGAAAUUGAACUCGCUGUGAAGAUGCAGUGUACCCGCGGCAAGACGGAAAGACCCCGUGAACCUUUACUAUAGCUUGACACUGAACAUUGAGCCUUGAUGUGUAGGAUAGGUGGGAGGCUUUGAAGCGUGGACGCCAGUCUGCGUGGAGCCAACCUUGAAAUACCACCCUUUAAUGUUUGAUGUUCUAACGUUGGCCCCUUAUCGGGGUUGCGGACAGUGUCUGGUGGGUAGUUUGACUGGGGCGGUCUCCUCCCAAAGCGUAACGGAGGAGCACGAAGGUUAGCUAAUCCUGGUCGGACAUCAGGAGGUUAGUGCAAUGGCAUAAGCUAGCUUGACUGCGAGCGUGACGGCGCGAGCAGGUGCGAAAGCAGGUCAUAGUGAUCCGGUGGUUCUGAAUGGAAGGGCCAUCGCUCAACGGAUAAAAGGUACUCCGGGGAUAACAGGCUGAUACCGCCCAAGAGUUCAUAUCGACGGCGGUGUUUGGCACCUCGAUGUCGGCUCAUCACAUCCUGGGGCUGAAGUAGGUCCCAAGGGUAUGGCUGUUCGCCAUUUAAAGUGGUACGCGAGCUGGGUUUAGAACGUCGUGAGACAGUUCGGUCCCUAUCUGCCGUGGGCGCUGGAGAAUUGAGGGGGGCUGCUCCUAGUACGAGAGGACCGGAGUGGACGCAUCACUGGUGUUCGGGUUGUCAUGCCAAUGGCACUGCCCGGUAGCUAAAUGCGGAAGAGAUAAGUGCUGAAAGCAUCUAAGCACGAAACUUGCCCCGAGAUGAGUUCUCCCUGAGACUUUAAGUCUCCUGAAGGAACGUUAAAGACGAUGACGUUGAUAGGCCGGGUGUGUAAGCGCAGCGAUGCGUUGAGCUAACCGGUACUAAUGAACCGUGAGGCUUAACCUU